rnacentral:lncRNA from 1 species
CAGAGUCAUGAUUUAAAGCUUCAAGCAUAUGAUUAUGAGAUGGUGGUUCUCAACAUUUACCACAACCUCCCAGCAAACCACACAGCAGUCAACUCUCAAGAUUUCUUCCAGGAGGGUAAAGGGAUUUUUCUCUUCACAUGCCAUCCAACUCCAUGGGAAAACAUUAGCAGUGACAAAUGACUCUGGAUGAAUGCUUGAAUCCGAGAGGAAAAGACAGUGAGAGAGCAAGAGCAGAUUGAGAAGCAGAAGAGUGAGUCGCAAAAAGAGAAAAUGACAGAAAUGGAGCACCCUGGGUGAAGGAUUUCUACUGUAAAUGCUUCAAAUCAUCAUCAUGGGGGAGAAGAGCACAGCAGUAUUUCCUUCCAAAAUUCUGUUUUCCUAGAAUCCCA